GAAACACUGAAAUUAUAAACUGUCAUAGUGGAAACAUGACAAUGCCAUUUGACUAUCUUGUUCAUACAGAUGGUGUCAAGACUUUUCAUUUUGAUGGCACUGGCAGUUUCAUUGACAUGGAUACUUGCUUUUGCGGUAUGGAUAAUCAAUUCUGUGCAUGUGACGUGCUUUUGCAGGCUAUCCACUAGGUUUUGCAGUUUGCACUAAUUGUUUUGGGAAAUGCACUAACUGCUGUGCAAAGUUUAAUUCUGUUGUGAGAAAUGCACCAAAGCAACGGAGAAAAACUGUAACUUCCUGAACCACAACCACUCCUGGUCAACCAAGCCAUUCCGGUCUACUACCUCUGACAUUGAGGAGACCCACUUUGAAAGAGCUAUGUCCACAUUGUGUUACAGUUUUUCUCCAUUGGUUUGGCUCAUUUCUUGAAACAGAAAUUACAUUCUCAAAAUAACAUGGACAAACCUCCAAACCUCUUGGCAAAUGUUCGCAACAGAAUGGCAUUUCACAUUCAUUUCAUCAAAUGGCAAAUGCCUUAGUACAUGUCUCAAUUGUCUCAAUGCAUCUUUGCAAAUGAUUAAGUACAAGUAGCCUACAGUUAUACAGUUAGCCCACAUUUAGCACAUUUUCCAAAUGAAUAGAUCCUGUAGAUCUAAACUGAUUAGUUGAUUCCCAGUCUAAUGAUCAUUCUCUCCAAAACAUGUCAGCAUGAUUUCACUGUAUAAGUACUUGCAUGCACAACUGUCUGUUCAAUUGUCAAAAUUGGUCAAGAACACAAUACCAUGAAUACCAUAUAUGAAUUUCUUUGAAUAUUUGAUAAAUUGAUGACAGUCAUUGACAGUCAGGUGAAACUAGACUAACGAAGGGGGAGUGUCACACACAGGUGUGUUCCACGAUUGUGCGCUGCCAAACACAGAUAUAUAGAGCUUGACCAGAGCCAGUCCGAUCUCUGAACAUGGAUAGACAAGGCCAAGCAAACGGAUAAGGGGAAGUUCUUCCUCAAGGAAGAGGAGGACUGAGAAUGCGUGGUGGAGGAAUAGGGGGAAGAGGCCGAGGUGUGCGAAGACACUGUGCUGUCCCGAAUGAAAUUCGGGCCACAAUUAUAGACCAUGUCAUAAACCAUGGCCUCACAAUGGCAGGUCGUCGAGUGCAGCCUAAUGUGCCUCACUCUACAGUCUCCUCCAUCAUCCAAACCUUUCGCAGGGAAAACAGGAUUGGACAACAACCUCGCGUGGGUGGCAGAGGAAAACUGCUCAAUGAACAACAGGAAAGAGAGAUUUGUAACAUGGUGAUGGCAAAUAAUGCCAUCACAUUGAGACAGAUCCAUGAUGCCAUCCUUCAGGACAAUCAUACAUCCCAGAAUAUAAACACAAUAAGCAUCUCCACGAUAGACCGGGUUUUGAAGAAGCAUCAGAUGACAAUGAAACAAAUCUACAGGGUACCAUUUGAGAGGAACUCUGACAGAGUGAAGGAGCUGCGCUACCAGUAUGUAAAUAGAAUAAUGGCAUUGGAAGGACAUGAGACCCCUCACAUCCUGGUGUUCGUGGAUGAAGCUUCAACCUGGCCAAGGGCCGAAGACGUGGCCGUAAUAUUAUUGGCCACCGGGCCACAGUGGAUGUCCCAGGUCAGCGAGGGGCAAUAUAACUAUGUGUGCUGCCAUUUCUGAAAAUGGUGUGGCCACUCACAUCCCCAGUCUUGGCCCAUACAACGCACACAAGCUCCUCAUCUUCUUGGAUCGCCUUUAUACCGAUUUUAUCCCUGAAAAUGAGAGCGGUCUCAUAGGGCCUCACCUACCCAUUUAUGUAAUUGUGUGGGACAAUGUCAAUUUCCACCAUAGCCCACUCAUUAGGGGCUGGUUUGCAACGCAUCCAAGGAUGGUCAUGGGCUUCCUACCACCUUACUCUCCUUUCCUCAAUCCGAUAGAGGAGUUUUUCUCUGCUUGGAGGUGGAGAGUGUAUGAGCAUCAUGCUCAGGAUCAGCCGUCCCUGCUCCAUGCUAUGGACGCAGCGUGUGAUGACAUUACAGGAGAUCAAUGCAGGGGAUGGUUGCGGCAUGCACGCCGUUUCUUCCCUCGUUGCAUCGCAAGAGAAAGUAUCCGCUGUGAUGUGGACGAGAAUCUGUGGCCAGACGGACAACAGCGUGUAAAUAAUCAGGAGGGUGAAGACAGUGGACAAGAGCGGGAGAAUGAGUACAGCGACCA
ensembl:lncRNA